GGUUAAGCGACUAAGCGUACACGGUGGAUGCCCUGGCAGUCAGAGGCGAUGAAGGGCGUGCUAAUCUGCGAUAAGCGCCGGUAAGGUGAUAUGAACCAUUAUAACCGGCGAUACCCGAAUGGGGAAACCCAGUGUGACUCGUCACACUAUCAUUAACUGAAUCCAUAGGUUAAUGAGGCGAACCGGGGGAACUGAAACAUCUAAGUACCCCGAGGAAAAGAAAUCAACCGAGAUUCCCCCAGUAGCGGCGAGCGAACGGGGAGGAGCCCAGAGCCUGAAUCAGCAUGUGUGUUAGUGGAAGCGUCUGGAAAGGCGCGCGAUACAGGGUGACAGCCCCGUACACAAAAGCGCAUGUGCUGUGAGCUCGAUGAGUAGGGCGGGACACGUGGUAUCCUGUCUGAAUAUGGGGGGACCAUCCUCCAAGGCUAAAUACUCCUGACUGACCGAUAGUGAACCAGUACCGUGAGGGAAAGGCGAAAAGAACCCCGGCGAGGGGAGUGAAAAAGAACCUGAAACCGUGUACGUACAAGCAGUGGGAGCACAGGUUUACCUGUGUGACUGCGUACCUUUUGUAUAAUGGGUCAGCGACUUAUAUUCUGUAGCAAGGUUAACCGUAUAGGGGAGCCGUAGGGAAACCGAGUCUUAACCGGGCGUUAAGUUGCAGGGUAUAGACCCGAAACCCGGUGAUCUAGCCAUGGGCAGGUUGAAGGUUGGGUAACACUAACUGGAGGACCGAACCGACUAAUGUUGAAAAAUUAGCGGAUGACCUGUGGCUGGGGGUGAAAGGCCAAUCAAACCGGGAGAUAGCUGGUUCUCCCCGAAAGCUAUUUAGGUAGCGCCUCGUGAAUUCAUCUCCGGGGGUAGAGCACUGUUUCGGCUAGGGGGCCAUCCCGGCUUACCAACCCGAUGCAAACUGCGAAUACCGGAGAAUGUUAUCACGGGAGACACACGGCGGGUGCUAACGUCCGUCGUGAAGAGGGAAACAACCCAGACCGCCAGCUAAGGUCCCAAAGUCAUGGUUAAGUGGGAAACGAUGUGGGAAGGCCCAGACAGCCAGGAUGUUGGCUUAGAAGCAGCCAUCAUUUAAAGAAAGCGUAAUAGCUCACUGGUCGAGUCGGCCUGCGCGGAAGAUGUAACGGGGCUAAACCAUGCACCGAAGCUGCGGCAGCGACGCUGAUGCGUUGUUGGGUAGGGGAGCGUUCUGUAAGCCUGUGAAGGUGGCCUGUGAGGGUUGCUGGAGGUAUCAGAAGUGCGAAUGCUGACAUAAGUAACGAUAAAGCGGGUGAAAAGCCCGCUCGCCGGAAGACCAAGGGUUCCUGUCCAACGUUAAUCGGGGCAGGGUGAGUCGACCCCUAAGGCGAGGCCGAAAGGCGUAGUCGAUGGGAAACGGGUUAAUAUUCCCGUACUUGGUGUUACUGCGAAGGGGGGACGGAGAAGGCUAUGUUGGCCGGGCGACGGUUGUCCCGGUUUAAGCGUGUAGGUGUGUGUUCCAGGUAAAUCCGGUUCACUUUAACACUGAGGCGUGAUGACGAGGCACUACGGUGCUGAAGCAACAAAUGCCCUGCUUCCAGGAAAAGCCUCUAAGCAUCAGGUAACAUCAAAUCGUACCCCAAACCGACACAGGUGGUCAGGUAGAGAAUACCAAGGCGCUUGAGAGAACUCGGGUGAAGGAACUAGGCAAAAUGGUGCCGUAACUUCGGGAGAAGGCACGCUGACACGUAGGUGAAGUGAUUUACUCAUGGAGCUGAAGUCAGUCGAAGAUACCAGCUGGCUGCAACUGUUUAUUAAAAACACAGCACUGUGCAAACACGAAAGUGGACGUAUACGGUGUGACGCCUGCCCGGUGCCGGAAGGUUAAUUGAUGGGGUCAGCGCAAGCGAAGCUCCUGAUCGAAGCCCCGGUAAACGGCGGCCGUAACUAUAACGGUCCUAAGGUAGCGAAAUUCCUUGUCGGGUAAGUUCCGACCUGCACGAAUGGCGUAAUGAUGGCCAGGCUGUCUCCACCCGAGACUCAGUGAAAUUGAACUCGCUGUGAAGAUGCAGUGUACCCGCGGCAAGACGGAAAGACCCCGUGAACCUUUACUAUAGCUUGACACUGAACAUUGAGCCUUGAUGUGUAGGAUAGGUGGGAGGCUUUGAAGCGUGGACGCCAGUCUGCAUGGAGCCGGCCUUGAAAUACCACCCUUUAAUGUUUGAUGUUCUAACGUGGACCCGUGAUCCGGGUUGCGGACAGUGUCUGGUGGGUAGUUUGACUGGGGCGGUCUCCUCCUAAAGAGUAACGGAGGAGCACGAAGGUUGGCUAAUCCUGGUCGGACAUCAGGAGGUUAGUGCAAUGGCAUAAGCCAGCUUGACUGCGAGCGUGACGGCGCGAGCAGGUGCGAAAGCAGGUCAUAGUGAUCCGGUGGUUCUGAAUGGAAGGGCCAUCGCUCAACGGAUAAAAGGUACUCCGGGGAUAACAGGCUGAUACCGCCCAAGAGUUCAUAUCGACGGCGGUGUUUGGCACCUCGAUGUCGGCUCAUCACAUCCUGGGGCUGAAGUAGGUCCCAAGGGUAUGGCUGUUCGCCAUUUAAAGUGGUACGCGAGCUGGGUUUAGAACGUCGUGAGACAGUUCGGUCCCUAUCUGCCGUGGGCGCUGGAGAACUGAGGGGGGCUGCUCCUAGUACGAGAGGACCGGAGUGGACGCAUCACUGGUGUUCGGGUUGUCAUGCCAAUGGCACUGCCCGGUAGCUAAAUGCGGAAGAGAUAAGUGCUGAAAGCAUCUAAGCACGAAACUUGCCCCGAGAUGAGUUCUCCCUGAGACUUAGAGUCUCCUGAAGGAACGUUGAAGACGACGACGUUGAUAGGCCGGGUGUGUAAGCGCAGCGAUGCGUUGAGCUAACCGGUACUAAUGAACCGUGAGGCUUAACCUU
rnacentral:rRNA from 2 species